UUUGAGUGCUGUGCAAGCCAUGUGACCACUGACGUCACCAGGGUUUGGCUUGAGAAUUUUCUGAUCAACUACCAUCUUGUUUUGUGGAAGACCUCGGCUGAUGAACAAUACAACUGGAGGGUCUCGGGAACAGCAUCAGGCCGGAUAAUCUUUCAAAACCUUGCUCACUUCCUGCCAGACAAGAGGGUAACGAUACCCAAAACAGUGGUAGAGAGGGAGACAAAUUGGACAAACAGCUGGGCUUCAAGAGAGCAGGAUGUGUGUGUCGAGGACAGGAAAGCUGAGGAGUUGAACAACAGCUCAGCUAGGGCAGGAAAUCCUCACUCGGCAACUAUUACAAGCAAUCACAAGGUCCAGUCAGAAUCUGACCAAUCAGAUUUGAGGAUUAAUUGA
rnacentral:lncRNA from 1 species